UCUCCGUAGGUGAACCUGCGGAGGGAUCAUUACCGAGUGAGGGCCUUCGGGCUCGACCUCCAACCCUUUGUGAACACAACUUGUUGCUUCGGGGGCGACCCUGCCGUUUCGACGGCGAGCGCCCCCGAAGGUCUCCAAACACUGCAUCGUUGCGUCGGAGUUUAACACAAAUCGAACAAAACUUUCAACAACGGAUCUCUUGGUUCUGGCAUCGAUGAAGAACGCAGC
rnacentral:misc_RNA from 1 species